AGCUCCAAUAGCGUAUAUUAAAGUUGUUGCAGUUAAAAAGCUCGUAGUUGGAUUUCUGAAUCGAAUGUCCGGUCCGCUUGCUAAGCAAGUGCGUACUAUGUGAUAUUUGUUUCAUUUUUUGUGAGGAAAUUUAUCUGUCAUUAAGUUGAUGGGUUUAUGGACUUGCAUCGUUUACUGUGAAAAAAUUAGAGUGUUUAAAGCAGGCGUUUGCCUUGAAUACAUUAGCAUGGAAUAAUAAGAUAUGACUUUGGUGGUCUAUUUUGUUGGUUUGCACACCAGAGUAAUGAUUAAUAGGGACAGUUGGGGGUAUUCAUAUUUCAGCGUCAGAGGUGAAAUUCUUAGAUCGCUGAAAGAUGAGCUUAGGCGAAAGCAUUUACCAAGGAUGUUUUCA
rnacentral:rRNA from 1 species